rnacentral:rRNA from 1 species
UACAGAGGGUGCAAGCGUUAAUCGGAAUUACUGGGCGUAAAGCGUGCGUAGUCGGUUAUUUAAGUCGGAUGUGAAAUCCCCGGGCUCAACCUGGGAAUUGCAUUCGAUACUGGAUAGCUAGAGUUCGGCAGAGGGAAGCGGAAUUUCUGGUGUAGCGGUGAAAUGCGCAGAUAUCAGGAGGAACACCAAUGGCGAAAGCAGCUCGCUGGAACGGUACUGACGCUGAGGCGCGAAAGCGUGGGGAGCGAACAGG